AAAUGUUUAUUGUUUGACAACAUUUUACUCCCUCUAUGUUUAAUAUAACAUACAUUUAUUAUUAAUUUUGUUUUCCUUUCCUGACUCUGAUGUCUGCCACAUAAAGCAUUUGACUCUAGCCACAAAUUAUGGAAAUUAGAAGGGGGGAGAAUUCUGUCAAGGGGGAGAUUUUUGGCACAACACCGGCAGUGGGAGAAGAUGGAAGAGAUGGAUUUUGGCCGACAUUCUGCUAAUUUACUCAUCGAUGAAACAUUUGAUUUCAAAAUAGUUGUCUGUUCCCAAAACUACAAUCUGUUAGGGACAGAGUGGACAAAGUUUUGUAAACUUUACCCUUUGCCAAAGAAAAAAAAAAAGGAGUGCGAAGGCGAAUUGAGUUAUUGCACACGCGGACUUUACAGAGUAGGCAUUCUACAACGGAACCAUGCAAAUGCAUGCUAGAAUCUUGUUAGCUCGUGCUUGGCUCUGCCCACCUCCUUGCUUGUUCUGCCCACUAUGGCUCAUUUGUUUCCCUUUGAAACGACAGGCUGUGGUCUAUGUAUGUGUAGUUCUAAAAAUCUUUGUCUGCUUCUUCUUCUUUAAAUUAAAAGGUGCAUACACCACCACCUACGGUACUGGAGUGCGAGUCCGGUGUAGAGUUAGUUGCCCUACCAACUAACUCGACACUCAGUAAAACAUCACCACUAUUCCACUAAUGGCCCCAUCUGAUCCUAGACUAGGCCAGCAGGGUCCGUGUACCUUCUAGACAAUGGCUAUCCUACAUUAACCAGGAUGACGGAUAGUGAGUGAUUCACCACUCGUUAUCCAUUUUAUUUCAAGUUGAUCGAAAUUGACAGAAAGCUACCUUUUUUAGUUUUUCGCUUCAAAUAUCGGAAAACAAGCACUGUCAAGGUAGGCGGGAAAGGGUAGGGUGCGUUUUGAUUUUGUUCCUAGUGUAACGUUAGUUAACAUAAGCUAGCGUUACCGCAACUAGCUAACCACACAGUCUCAAGUGAGUGUAAUUUGUGUUUUGUAGCCAAAUCACCACAACUGUUGUGGCUAGAGAAGCGAGCUAACGUUAUUGCCUAGCUACAAAUUCACUGUUCUAUGAAGUUUGUGCUCUCAGUUGUGUUUGAUUUGACCGUCUAUUAUUGGCCAUGUUGUGUGGUCUAUAUAUGGUCAGAGGGAUCUGGGGUGCAGAUGGUGGUGGAGGUGUUUGGCGUGGAGAGGACAGUGAAUUCAGUGGAGGACAUCCCAAACCACUUGACAGUGUUGGCACUGUUACUUCCUACCUGACGGGUGAGGGAUGAUAAGCCCGUGUUUGAGAAGAGGUGUCUGGUGUGGGAGGACAUGCGGAUUCCCUCAAAGUUCCUGAAGGAGGAGUUGGCAACACCCAGGUCUAUCUGUCUUCAGAGGGAUCUAGGGUGCAGACAGCAGAUGUUUGGGGUGGAGAGGACAGUGGAUUCAUUUGGAGGACAUCCCAGCCACUUGGCAGUGUUGGUGUAACAGUAUAAGUUUAGACCGUCCCCUCGCCCAUACCCGGGCGCGAACCAGGGACCCUCUGCACACAUCAACAACAGUCACCCACGAAGCAUCGUUACCCAUCGCUCCACAAAAGCCGCGGCCCUUGCAGAGCAAGGGGAACCACUACUUCAAGGUCUCAGAGCAAGUGACGUCACCGAUUGAAGCGCUAUUUAGCGCGCACCGCUAACUAAGCUAGCCGUUUCACAUCCGUUACAUUGGGACUGCUACUUCCUACCUGACGGGCACCUGGCCACCCGAGUGCAGGUGGGCUCUGUCAACAUGAGGCUCUUACUGGUCCUACCACAAGUACACACAGGAGUUGAAGAUGCCUUGUACCAGCGGCAGCACCCAGAGCUCCAAGCCAUGAUGGGUCGACUUCCUGCAGUUCCUGCUACUACGAAAACUGAGCGAGGUCAUCAUGUUCGCCCGCAAGGACUUCUUUGCCUCCUGCCAACUCCCGGGUGGCACCUUGAACACCUCCUCACCUUGAGGACACACAUUGUGGCUGCGUCUGUGUCUCAAUAGUCUAGUAGCUUUCUUUGACUGGCACUUUAGUGAGGACAAUACUAUUCUGGUUGGCACUUGUCACCAGUAUGUACAGAGGCCCUCGAGAUCUAGAGUAUUGAUAAAAUACGAAUGCUUUUAUGGAUGUUUUUUAUUUUGUGAUGUUUUUACUGUCUGUUUGUAUGAGGUGCACUGAAACAAAUUCCUAAUCAACUCUGUUAUGGAAAUCGAAAGAGGUCCAGUUAUGUCAGUUAUUGUGAAUGAAAAUAAAAUGUAUCAUUUCAUGUCUUGUAUGUUUCCCAUGCUUAAUUUCUGUGGAGUAAUUCCAGUAACUGCUUUAACUGCUUUUUUUGCUUUGGCUCUAAGUUAUAAAUAAAAUUAUUCUCAUGCU